rfam:Myotis lucifugus cont2.25579, whole genome shotgun sequence.
ACAUUGGAAGACCCUGAAGUGUAGGUGAGAAGAUGCUUUGCUUCAGUCAUCACAAUGACAACAACGAUAGUAACUCAAGUCAAGCAAGAAGUUUAUGUCAACAAACUAAGAACAGAGUUGUUUUUUAAGAAUCACAACUUAUUUGCACUUUCUUCUUGAAUUAUGAUGCUUGCAAAGAGCAAGGUUUGAAAGGACUAAUACUACAUUACCAAAAUUAAGACUAG